CCUUCCGUUGAAGUGGGGGAUAACUAGCCGAAAGGUUAGCUAAUACCGCAUACGAUCUUCGAAGGCAUCUUUGAAAGAUGAAAGGAGCAAUUCGUUCAACGACGGGACCGCGUCCCAUUAGCUAGAUGGGUGGGGUAAUGGCCCUACCAUGGCAACGAUGGGUAGCUGGUUUGAGAGAGCGACCAGCCACACUGGGACUGAGAGACGGCCCAG
rnacentral:rRNA from 1 species